ACUCUCUGUGGCACCACCAAGACCCCCUCACCCUGCCAGAGCCCUCUGAAGUGUACUCAGAAUGGAGGGGCUGGAAGUGGGGCCAGUGGUCCUGGUAGUCAGCCUCCCCUUCUGACACAAGAAUUAUCGUGGAACAGCUUGUGUGACCGAUCAACUGGUCUCUCCAUCUUUAAGCCAUUGUCUUGUUGACUCUGUUACUGCAGAGUUUGGGGAGGUCUCAUGGCUUCUCGCAUCCUAUUUCCUGAGCUUCCCUGAAGCCAACUUCUGGCCACUGGUAUGUGAUGCGAGCACAGUGCCUCCUCCUGCUCCUCCAGGAAGCUUCUGCUGAUUGAACGCAGGCCAGAUGGCGAGAUCCGGAGCAACCUUCUUAGAUCAAGGGAAGAAAGGGGCACAAGAGGGGAGUAGGUAACAAGAUAAAAGGAGCUCCCUCCCUGAUGACUACAGAGCCAUCGUGGCAGCCCUGGGCCUCCAUUUCAGACGUUCAUCUUGCCUAAGCCACCACCAUCAGGGUCUCAGUCAGUCAUCAUUCUCAUUUACUCGGGUGGCUGGGUGAGGGCGGAAUACUACCUUCCAGCUGUCUGAGAUUAAGCCUAAGCCACCACCAUCAGGGUCUCAGUCAGUCAUCAUUCUCAUUUACUCGGGUGGCUGGGCGAGGGCGGAAUACUACCUUCCAGCUGUCUGAGAUUAAGCAGAACAGCAGCUAAAGCAGUAACAGCAGGUCUCCUUCAGCAGCUUGCCACAGGGAAGAGGGUCCCGCGUGAACCGAACUCAACUUCCACCUGCGCAGAGGUAGCUACCAUUUGCGUAGAGGUAGCUGGGUCUUUAAGGUUAGAGGGAAGGCGCAGGGAGGGAGAGACGGCGGGUGGGGGUUGAACAAAGUGGAGAUUCACAAAAGCAGACUAGGGCGGGCGACGUGAUCAGAUGACCUGUGCGGGCGGCAGCCUCCUGCCCUCCUCCCCUUCGUGCGCCGGCUGGAGCGAAGAGUUCUUUUGACAGCCGUGAGCUUCCCCGCCAGGAACUUACUGGGGCUGCAUCACCCUAGAAACGUGGCUUUGGGCUGUGGAAACGCUGCCUCUGUGGAAGUCUCUCCUCGCGGGGGUGGACGGGUCGCUGCGCGCCCAGCGUUCUUCUGCGGUUCUCACAGCCCGCCGCCGCCGCCGCCUCGGGGACCUUUGCGGGGAGGCCUCAGGCUGGAGUAUAGUGGCAUGAUCAUAGAUCACUGCAGCCUCAAACUCCUGGGCUCAAGCGAUCCUCCCACCUCAGCCUCCAUAUAGCUGGUGGGGACCAAGUUUCUAACACAUGAAUGUUGGGAGACACAUUCAGACCAUCGCAGUGGCCUUAUAAAAAGAGACACAAGAGCUUGCUCUCUGCCAUGUGAGAAUACCACAAGAAGACUGUCCUCAGCAAAUCAGAAAGCGGGUGGACCCUCAUCAGACACCAGAUGUGCCUGCACCUUGAUCUUGGACUUGCCAGCCUUCAGAACAGCCAUCAGCUGGAUGAAGAAUUAAUUUAGUAAGCAUGAAACAGCUUGCAAAGCAUUGGUGAGUGGCUGAGGGCCAUGAAACGAGACCACCGUGUGGCCCAUCUCUGAAGAUGAAUCCAACAGCAGUGACUCUACCUGCGUCCUCCCCAUCUUUUCUGCUUUUUCAUACAAUGGCUUAUUCACUGCGUGUGACAUCAUCACUAGCACUGUGUUUAUCUAUCACAUUUCUUCUGUUUUGUGGGUUUGUUUUGCAUUAAAGGUCUACUUCUCUGAGCUUUGAGCUGUAAGGCUUGACUGUGAGCAGCAACUGAAGAGUGUGGCACCUCACACUCGGUAGGAAGAAGCUGAAUGACAGAUGUCGGCAGUGAGGGUGGGGAAAGCAGCCAGGUACCAAGCAGCUGUUUUUUAGGCUAACCAUUGAAGGGAAGCUCCUAAUCCCUGAGUUAACUUUUAGCAGAGAUUAACUCAGUCUAUCUAUUGGGAUGUAAAGGAUUUGGGCAUAAAGGUAUGUUAAUUCGGAGGCUCUGGAAUGUAUAACAAUUUCUCCCAUUGAAAUUUAUGAUAAUUAAGUGUUCAACUUACUGGAAUUUUCCCCACAAGACUCUUCUGGGAUGAAUUUGCCUUGGGGAGAAGACUACGUAACUGAAAACCAGCAUCCAGGCCCUCAAGAAGAAAUAUAAUCUCCAACAGUCUCCUUUUCAAUUUCUGUCAAAUGUCUGGCUUCUCUUGAAGGGAUGUUCACGAGAAGGGACAGCCGCCCUCCUCCGAGCCUCCUGUUUCAGCUGAUGCACCUUCAAGUACAAGGUCCUGUUCUUGGGCUCUGUUAAAGUUUCCCUCAAGAAAAAAACCUUACAUUUGCCAAUGCACUUGAUGUAAAGUUGUUGAGGAUGUUGACUCUCCUUUAAACAUUUAUUGAAGCUAGGAAUAAACUUAACUGGACCUGUGUAUAGGAAAUCUUAAAUUUCUACUAAGAGAUGAAAAAAAGAAUUCCCUUCCCUUCCUUAACAAUUCAGCUCCCGUUACACAAAACCAAACAAGAUGGGAUUCUGUUGUGGGGGGACAGAACUUCAUUGUCCUGAAGCUAGGUGUUGGAGCCCAAGCAGGGUGAGGAGGGAGUCAAGGAGGCCCAUGUGGUGGUGGAGCAUGGCCUGGCAUGGGUCUCAGUGCCCAAGCAAGGUGAAGAGGGGACCAUGCAGGGAGUGAGGGUGUCACUGCCCAAGUGAGGUGAGUAGGGCAAUUUUGAAAAGUCAUGAAAGUUGAGGAAGGGCUGAGGCACCAUUCUAGAUUGAAGGAGACUAAAAAGAUGCAACACUCACAAUGCACAAUUCUAAACUGAAAUCUUUGCUCUAAAGGACAUUAGGACAAUGAAAGAAACUUGCACGGGGUCUGAGCAUUAGGUAGUAGUAAUGAAUUGAUGUUGAGUCCCUAAUUUUCAUGGUUGUAUGCUGAUGAUGUAGGAGGUUCUUGUAGGAAAUACACACUCAAAAGUAUUCUGAGGUGAUGGGGCAUCAUAUCAGAAGCUUAUUCUCAAAUGGUUCAGGAAGGAAAAAGUUUUAUACUAUACUUCUUUGGCAAGUUUAGAUUGUUUCAAAAUAAAAUUUUUUUAAAAAGAGCAUUUGUUAACCAUCAGUUUGGUAAAAGGUGAAAAAUGUUGAUAAUACCUAGUGUUUGUGAAGGUGUGGAGAAACAAAGUUUCAUACACUAUUGUCAAAAGUAUAAAUUGUUACAAUAUUUUUGGAGAGCAAUUUUCCAGUAUGUAGCAAAAAUUUAAAAGCAAAUCUUAACUCAGCAAUUCUGCCUUUAGAAAUGUAUUUGUAGGAUAACAUACAGGAGAGAAAAAUGUAUUUUACUGCAACACUGUUGAUACUAACAAAAACUGGAAACCACCAAAACAUUUAUCAUGAGGGGGUUAAGUAAAGUAUGGUAUAACUAUACAAUGAGUGUACUAGGAAACCCUUAGAAAGAAUGCAGAAAGAUGUAUGUGGACUUUUACAGAAAGGUGAGCUACUGUCUAAAUGCAAAUGUGCCAAUAUCAUGUAUAUACAGUCAGGUUCCUUUUGUUAAAAACCAAAAGCGUAUGUUUAGAAGCAAAAGCACUCAUAUAAAGGCCUGGUAUAGAGCAGUGGCUAAAAACAGUGCCAAGAUACUGCCUCAACUUCCUCUCACAUGCUGCCCUGGUGAUACUGAGGCUGGUUCAGGAACCAUGACAGCCUGUUUGUAUGAAUUCCUUAAAGCACAAAUUACUUAGUUUCUUUCAUAACAGUCACCUAAUCCCUUAGUUUAAAAUGGUUGUGUUCAUGGAAUACUAUGCAGCCAUAAAAAAGGAGAUCACAUCCUUUGCAGCAACAUGAGUGGAGCUGGAGGCCAUUAUCCUAAGAGAACUAAUGCUGCAACGGAAAAACCAAAUACCGCAUGUUUUCACUUACAAGUGGGAGCUAAACAAUGAGAACACAUGGAUACAAAGAGGGGAAAAACAGACACUGAGGCCUACUUGAGGGUGAAGGGCAGGAGGAGGAAGAGUAUCAGAAAAAAUUCCUAUUGGGUACUAUGCUUAUUACCUGGGUGAUGAAACAAUUUGAACACCAAAUCCCUGUGACACAGUUUACCUACAUAACAAACCUGCACAUGUACUCCUGAACCUAAAAGUUACAAUAAAUAAAAAAUAAAAUGGUUGUGUCCUGACAGGAAAUAAGUGUUCCAGAUCUGCUUGCCUCCUACCCCCUUAAGAACUCCCAGCGCCAAGGACAGCUUCACAGUGAUGUGCUGAAUUUGUUUUUUCUCUGCCCCACCCACCAUUUUGCUUCUGGUAAGAUUUUGAAUCCCUGGUUAAUUAAUGAAGAACUAACCUUACAAUGGGUAUAUGCUUGUGGUCCCUUUCCACCAGCCCCCAGCCCACCUAACAUACUAGUUGUGGGACUGCCUAAAGAAAGAAUGUCAGGAAGGCCAGAGAGGCGAGCUGAGGAUCCCCAGGUGGAGGCCUCCACAGUAAGUGCCACAAGGCCAUUGCAUCAUGAGGG
rnacentral:lncRNA from 1 species